rnacentral:rRNA from 1 species
CCCUUAGAUGUUCUGGGCCGCACGCGCGCUACACUGAUGCAUUCAGCGAGUCUAAAACCUGCUCUGAUAGGGGUGGGUAAUCUUUUGAAUGUGCAUCGUGAUUGGGAUAGAUGAUUGCAAUUUUUCAUCUUCAACGAGGAAUACCUAGUAAACGCAAGUCAUCAGCUUGCAUUGAUUACGUCCCUGCCCUUUGUACACACCGCCCGUCGCUCCUACCGAUUGAAUGAUCCGAUGAAUAUCAUGGAUUGAGGAUGCAAGCAGGUUCGCCUGUCUUCAUCUUCGAGAAGUGAAGUAAAUCUUAUCAUUUAGAGGAAGGAGAAGUCGUAACA